GGGCUCACACAAGCGGUGGAGGAUGUGGCUUAAUUCGAGGCUACGCGAAGAACCUUACCUAGACUUAACAUGUUUGAGAAUCUCUGUGAAAGCAGAGAGUGCCUUUCGGGGAACUCUUACGUAGGUGCUGCAUGGCUGUCGUCAGCUCGUGUCGUGAGAUGUCGGGUUAAGUCCCUUAACGAGCGAAACCCUUAUCUUCAGUUGCCAGCGAGUAAUGUCGGGGACUCUGGAGAGACUGCCGGUGUUAAACCGGAGGAAGGUGGGGAUGACGUCAAGUCCUCAUGGCCUUUAUGUCUAGGGCUGCACACGUCCUACAAUGCAACGUACAAAGCGACGCGAAAUCGCGAGAUCAAGCAAACCGCACAAAACGUUGCCCAGUUCGGAUUGCAGGCUGAAAUUCGCCUGCAUGAAGCCGGAAUCGCUAGUAAUCGUAGGU
rnacentral:rRNA from 1 species